AUCAUAACAUAAUUCGGAGUGUGGAUAUAAGUCCCCCAUUUCUUAAGUGAUGUAGGAGAACCAAGGAGUUCUCUGCAACUCUCUGCAAUUGAAGUUUACAUCUACUACUAGAAAGCAAAAGCGAAGAGCGUUCGCUACUCAUAAAAACAUGGUGGUGGUUGGAGACGUGAUUGUGACCAAGAUCAUCGAGAAGUUGGUGGAGAUCGGGUUCGAGUAUGCAGCAGACCGGUAUUUUGCUCGGGAUACUCGGAUGAAAGAUGAGCUUGAGAGGCUCAAGAAAGCUCUUCCUCGUAUCCAAGCUGUUGUGGAGAUGGCUGAGAGCAGGCAACGAGAGAUCAAGGGAGGACUCAGCGAAUGGCUGUGGCAACUAAAAGAUGCGUUGGAUGAGGCUGACAACGCACUUGAUGAGCUUGAUUACCUUAAGCUACAGAAACAAGUUGAGGAGAAAGCCUCAGGCAGCAAAGAACAUGGUCAUAGUGGCCGUGGUAAAGUGCGUGGUUUUCUCUCCGACUCUAAACGGAAAGUUGUAAAAGCUGGUAAAAGAGUCUUCAAAUCCGAUCCCACCCUCGGGAAACUGAGGGGGGCUGUGAAAAGGCUAGAUGAAGUCGCAGCGGGCGUGGGAGAUUUCAUCUCUACACUACAACUGCCUCAACAACAUCAAAGUCAGAGCCCGGUUCCUGCUCGUAAAACUGGACCAGCUCUAACUGAGAAAAAACUGCGUGGACGAGAUGAAGAGAGGGAGGAACUGUUAGGGUGGUUGAGAGGGGAUGACAGCAGUACAAGUGUAUCUCUUUUCUCCAUUUUUGGCCAUGGAGGAGUGGGCAAGACCACCCUCGCACAACACGUCUAUAACGACGAGAGCUCAACUAAUUCCUUCGAUCCCAAAAUCUGGGUGUGCAUCUCCACUCCCUUUGUUGCCGAAAAGGUCAUGGCACAUAUGAUAGAAUACGCCGAGAAAAAGAGACCUGAAGUUAAGGAACUUGCCGCUCUGCAAGAAGCUCUUAAAAAUCUGGUUUCAUCGAGGAAAUUUCUCCUUGUCUUGGAUGACGCAUGGAAUGAUGACAAUCGUUCUGAAUGGGAUAAAUUGUUUGCUCCUUUGACGAGUGGCCAUAAAGGAAGCAAAAUCUUGUUAACUACUAGAAGUGUGUCUGUUGCAAAAAUGGUUGCAUCAGCUUUGGGGGGAUCAAUAAAUGAGCCAAUGAAACUAAAACCUUUAGAUGAUGACAACUUCCUAUUACUUUUCAACCAAUAUGCAUUUGCUGGUGUAGACUCUUGUGAUUAUAGGAAGUUGGAAUCCAUUGGCGAGAAAAUAGCAAGAAGGCUUGGGGGCUUACCAUUGGCUGCAAAGACGAUUGGAGCGCUAUUGAAUUCUAAGUUGGAUGAUAGUCAUUGGAACAGAAUUUUGCAUGCGGACAAUAUAUCCGAUCAAGCACAGCAGAGGGAUGAUGUGACGUCUGUUUUGAUGUUAAGCUACAACCAUUUACCAAUGCACUUAAGACCAUGUUUUGCUUAUUGCAGCAUCUUUCCUCAAGAUUAUAGGUUCGAGAAAGAUGAUCUAGUCUUCAUGUGGAUGGCUCUUGGCCUCAUUCAAAAAUCUUCCCAAUAUCCAAACGAGACACUGGAGGACACUGGAAGGGGCUACUUUGACGAUUUAGUGAAACUAUCAUUUCUCGAACAAGGUUACUUCGCAGAUGGAACCUACAACAUGCAUGAUCUUUUGCAUGAAGUGGCACGCAAAGUGUCUCAUGGUGAUUGCUUUAGAUUUGUCGGAGACAUGUCAAUUGACCAGAUCCCGAAUAUGGUACGUCAUCUGCAUUUUGAAAUCGACAAACUUGACCUUCUUAAAGAUGUGGGCAAACGGAAGAAACUCCGCACGCUUGUGUUAGUCUUCAGAGGAUAUGUUAAUGAGCAUGCCAAGGAUUUUGAAGAAGCGUUUAAGUCACUGGAAAGCAUUCGGGUGCUGCGCCUAGCUGUUGACGGCAUGAACGUUUUGCCAGAUGCAAUUGGUAACCUGAGGCAUAUUAGGUAUUUGUCGAUUGGUCAUGUUAUUUCUCCGUUACCUAGUUCAUUCUGCAGGCUCUACCACCUGCAGGUCCUUGCUGGUGGACGUUUUGCUACUCAAUCUGUUCUUGGCUUGAAUAAUCUCAUUAGUUUGAGACACCUGAUACCAUAUCAAGUUUACUAUGAAAAAAUCGAGGGGUUAGGGACAUUAACUUCACUUCAACGUUUUUCGUUCGCUGCUGAAGUUUAUAAAUUGAGUGAAUUGAAGGAGAUGAGAGAUCUGCGGGAACUGAGUAUCCGUGGCCUUGAGAAUCGCAAACAUCACGAGGAAGUCAGUACGAUCUGUGGCCUUGAGAGCCUCCUCAAGUUAGAGCUGGUUUGGUCUGAUGACAGUGAUGUGGCGGAUGAGUAUGAACUGAUGCUUGAUCGCCUGCAACCACCCGAUAGCCUCAGGGAACUAACAAUCAAGGGAUACCACGGCGCCAGGUCUCCACGUUGGAUGGAACCAGAAUUAUUAAAAAAUCUGGAGCACGUAAGCCUUGAACGUGGCAGGGCAUGGAAGCACCUUCCUUCUCUCGGGAAGCUCCCAUACAUCAUGCGUUUAUCCUUGAGGGGACUGACAGCUCUUCAUCAAAUUAACUGUGAAGGUGGCUUUCAACAACUGAAGCAUUUAUCUUUUUAUAAUUGUGGGCAAUGGGAGGAGUGGUGUGGAUUAGAAGCAGAGGCAGUAGUACCCUGGUGCCCUCUCCUCAAGGAACUUGUUAUCUGGGAUUGUCCCAGACUGAAGGCGCUGCCCCCUCUGCCCCUCGGUCUCAAGACAUUGGUGUUGCAACGUGUGGGAUUGUCUGAUUCCCCGACGCUCUGGGUGGGCAGCAACUGCGGUGGUAGCAGCUGCGGUACAGCUAGCUCUUCGUCCACGUCCUCUCCCUCCCUCUCUGCAUUGAGAAUUAGAAGGUGUGGAGAGCUGACAUCCGUGGCUGGCUUGUUCCGACAUCAUCUCACGUCUCUCAGCCGGUUGGAGAUUGUGAAUUGCCCUAAGCUGAGGAUGUCUCCAAACGCAGUUACCCCAGUUGAUUGUUUCUCUCUCCCAUCACUCCGAUCCCUUUGGCUUGUUGAUUGUGGUGGACCGGACGGUCCCACUCCUGCGUUAUUAAUGCAAAGUUCCAUCACUUCUCUUUCAAGCCUUGGAUUAGGUGGAGAUAACCACAUAACCGCCUUUCCCUCCGAAGUGGAGUGUGGAAGAUUUACUUCUCUGAGGGAGUUGUACCUGGCAGGGUGUGGUGAGCUGGCAUCAAUUGAGCGUCUAAAGGCUCUUCCCCACCUUAAAGAGCUAACCAUUAGCGAGUGCCCCAAGCUUGUGCGAGCAGCUGCGGAAACAACUCCAGCAUCAAUAAUCGAGCGGGAAGAGGAGCAGGAGUUCACAUCAACUGUUGAAGAACUUGAAAUCGAUGACCCGUUCCUGCUCCACAUAGAGCCGUUGAGAAACCUCACAUCUGUCAGAUGGCUAGAAAUACAAGAUUGUAGUCAUCUGGAGGCUGCUCUCGCGGAGUCAUGGUUGUUGCAGAAUUCAACUUCGCUGCGACGUCUCGAGCUGCGGGGUGAAGCAAAGUGCUUGCCUUCUAGCCUCCAAAUUCUCUCUUCCCUCGAGUAUUUGUCACUUGGUGAAGCUUAUGAGCUCCAAUCACUGCCACAACUUCCUCUCUCUCUGCAAUUUCUGAUGAUCUUGGGCUGCAGCGAGGCACUGAAGGAGCGAUGCCGGGAGAAUGAAGGUGCUGAUUGGCCCAACAUCCGACACAUCCCUCACAUCACAAUUACUUGAUUAGCUACUCGGUCCGGGGACGAUGUUUUGUGAUAAUUUGAGCUAUAUAUUCAUGUUCUUGUUUAUAGCUACUUCCAACAUGGUUGCUACUUCACUUGCUAGAAAAGAAGCAUUUGAAAGAAGCUAUGACCAAGUCUUUUAUUUCAUCCCAUAUUAUGAGAAGCGAAGUGUGUCAAGAGAUGAAAUCGAGAUAUUGCCACCAAUUACUACUAAAAGGAUGUGAAGAAAUAGAACUAGACGUAUAAACAAUAGAAUAAUUUACAAAAGUCCACUGAAAUGUUCUUGAUGCAAAGUUCAAGGUCACAAUCAAGCCAAUAUUCACUCUCUGCAUGGGCUUCUGCACUCUCAUCGUCAUCAUGGGGUGAUUGUCGAUAUACUGUUUAUAUGUCAAAAAUCGUUGGUGUAGUAUGUUAAAAGCUUUGUUGCUCAUUCCUUGGGAUGUUUCUGAUUAGCAUUGUGAAUCUGAAUGGUUGUUGGUUUUCAAAUAUAAGUAGCAACUGAUGUUGAUCUGUGGUCUUAUUAAUUUUUGGUGCU